AGCAGCAGCAGUAGUAGUAGUAGUAGUAGUAGUAGUAGUAGUAGUAGUAGUAGUAGGUACAUUAACAACAUUCACCUCUUUAUGCCUUAUUUAAGUGAUCACAUCAAUAUUCCCAAUCAUUAAUUACACCUGAUUAACAAGGUAUUGAGAUUUAAUUAGCUGAAAAAAACACCUGAUAUUGUAUUGAAGGACAAAUUAACAGGUAUUGAUGAACAGGUAAGCAAUAAAUCCCUUUGAAAUAAUAGUGAAGCUAAUUAAUAUUCAGAGAGAGAGAGAGAGAGAGAGAGAGAGAGAGAGAGAGAGAGAGAGAGAGAGAGAGAGAGAGAGAGAGAGAGAGAGAGAGAGA